GAUGAACGCUGGCGGCGUGCCUAACACAUGCAAGUCGAGCGAUUUACUUCGGGAAAGAGCGGCGGACGGGUGAGUAACGCGUGGGUAACCUGCCCUGUACACACGGAUAACAUACUGAAAGGUAUGCUAAUACGGGAUAACAUAAGAGAGUCGCAUGGCUUUCUUAUCAAAGCUUUUGCGGUACAGGAUGGACCCGCGUCUGAUUAGCUAGUUGGUAGGUAACGGCUUACCAAGGCGACGAUCAGUAGCCGACCUGAGAGGGUGAUCGGCCACAGUGGAACUGAGACACGGUCCAAACUCCUACGGGAGGCAGCAGUGGGGAAUAUUGCACAAUGGGCGAAAGCCUGAUGCAGCAACGCCGCGUGAGCGAUGAAGGCCUUCGGGUCGUAAAGCUCUGUCCUCAAGGAAGAUAAUGACGGUACUUGAGGAGGAAGCCCCGGCUAACUACGUGCCAGCCGCCGCCGUAA
rnacentral:rRNA from 1 species